rnacentral:rRNA from 1 species
GACAGAGGGUGCAAACGUUGUUCGGAAUUACGGGGCGUAAAGCGUGUGUAGGCGGCUUUGUAAGUCGGAUGUGAAAGCCCCGGGCUCAACCCGGGAAGUGCACUCGAUACUGCGAAGCUUGAGUACUGGAGAGGUUGGUGGAAUUCUCGGUGUAGAGGUGAAAUUCGUAGAUAUCGAGAGGAACACCGGUGGCGAAGGCGGCCAACUGGACAGAUACUGACGCUGAGACACGAAAGCGUGGGGAGCAAACAGG